GGGGCUGAUUCUGGAUUCGACGGAAUUUGCGAAACUCAAGGUGCAUGCCGAGGGGCGGUUGGCCUCGUAAAAAGCCGCAAAAAAAUAGUCGCAAACGACGAAACCUACGCUUUAGCAGCUUAAUAACCUGCUUAGAGCCCUCUCUCCCUAGCCUCCGCUCUUAGGACGGGGAUCAAGAGAGGUCAAACCCAAAAGAGAUCGCGCGGAUGCCCUGCCUGGGGUUGAAGCGUUAAAACGAAUCAGGCUAGUCUGGUAGUGGCGUGUCCGUCCGCAGGUGCCAGGCGAAUGUAAAGACUGACUAAGCAUGUAGUACCGAGGAUGUAGGAAUUUCGGACGCGGGUUCAACUCCCGCCAGCUCCACCA
rnacentral:tmRNA from 1 species